AGAUAAGUUGGAAGUGAAAUCCUAUGGCUUAACCAUAGAACUGCUUCCAAAACUGUCUAUCUAGAAUAUGGGAGAGGUAGAUGGAAUUUCUGGUGUAGGGGUAAAAUCCGUAGAGAUCAGAAGGAAUACCGAUUGCGAAGGCGAUCUACUGGAACAUUAUUGACGCUCAGAUGCGAAAGCGUGGGGAGCAAACAGGAUUAGAUACCCUGGUAGUCCACGCCCUAAACGAUGCACACUAGUUGUUGCCUUGCUAGACAAGGCAGUAAUGCAGUUAACACAGUAAGUGUGCCGCCUGGGGAGUACGGUCGCAAGAUUAAAACUCAAAGGAAUAGACGGGGACCCGCACAAGCGGUGGAGCAUGUGGUUUAAUUCGACGAUACGCGAAGAACCUUACCUGGCCUUGACAUAGAGAGAACUUACUAGAGAUAGUUUGGUGCUAGCUUGCUAGAACUUUCAUACAGGUGCUGCACGGCUGUCGUCAGCUCGUGUCGUGAGAUGUUGGGUUAAGUCCCGCAACGAGCGCAACCCUCGUGUUUAGUUAAUAACGGUUCGGCCGAUGACUCUAAACAGACUGCCUGGGCAACCAGGAGGAAGGUGAGGACGACGUCAAGUCAUCAUGGCCCUUACGGCCAGGGCUACACACGUGCUACAAUGGGGUAUACAAAGAGCCGCAAUACCGCAAGGUGGAGCAAAUCUCAUAAAAUAU
rnacentral:rRNA from 1 species